rnacentral:rRNA from 1 species
UACGUAGGGGGCAAGCGUUAUCCGGAAUCAUUGGGCGUAAAGCGCGUGUAGGCGGUUCCGUAAGUCCGCUCUGAAAGCCCAGGGCUCAACCCUCGGGAGGCGGGUGGAUACUACGGAACUGGAGUACGGAAGAGGAGAUUGGAAUUCCUGGUGUAGCGGUGAAAUGCGCAGAUAUCAGGAGGAACACCAACAGCGAAGGCAGAUCUCUGGGACGUUACUGACGCUGAGACGCGAAAGCGUGGGGAGCAAACAGG